rnacentral:rRNA from 1 species
UACAGAGGUCUCAAGCGUUGUUCGGAUUCAUUGGGCGUAAAGGGUGCGUAGGCGGCGCGGUAAGUCGGGUGUGAAAAUCCAGGGCUCAACCCUGGACCUGCAUUCGAUACGGGCAGACUAGAGUUCGGUAGGGGAGACUGGAAUUCCUGGUGUAGCGGUGAAAUGCGCAGAUAUCAGGAGGAACACCGGUGGCGAAGGCGGGUCUCUGGGCCGAUACUGACGCUGAGGAGCGAAAGCGUGGGGAGCGAACAGG